rnacentral:tmRNA from 1 species
GGGGAUGAAAGGCUUCGACAGGGAGGGCUGGUCAGCGGCUGCAAGCCGAGGCGCCUUACCUCGUAAAAAAGGGCAAACCAAUAAGUGCCAAAAACACCUAUACUCCGGCCUAUGCUCUCGCCGCGUAAGCGGUAGCGAGCAAAAGCCAUUGACCGACAAAGUUCGGUCACGUCUGCCUCUGGGCUUAGCCCGAGAGCCGGAGCGCGGGCGUCGCCUAAAUCGGGCUGCGGUUGGCCUGACGCCGAUGGGGCCGGCCUAAGAGAGAUCGGCUGGUGGGCUGAAGGCUCGGUCACGCGAGGGUAGGCCCACGAGAAACGCGAAGCGUGACUAUGCUUGUAGCAGGCCUCUGGCCGAACUUCUUGGACGCGGGUUCGAUUCCCGCCAUCUCCACAC